GGUGGCUGUAGCUCAGUUGGUUAGAGCGUCAGGUUGUGGCCCUGAAGGCCGGGGGUUCGAGACCCCUCAGUCACCCCCA
rnacentral:tRNA from 1 species